rnacentral:misc_RNA from 1 species
GGGCAGUUCACAAAAUGCGCUUAACAUCUUUGGACAAUGAAGAACUUGAUGCAUUGCGUGAUCGUAACCUUCUUGCUGUUGGCUUCUGCCAUCCCAGUCUUUCGAGGAACUCCUCAAUUAACAGGCCGCAGAUAGCCUUUUGAGAUGCUGCCAGCUCACGGUCUGGAAACGAAUCCUCCAAGCGGAAACUCAACCAAACAUAGAGAUCCAAUACCUUGU